rnacentral:rRNA from 1 species
UACGGAGGGUGCAAGCGUUGUUCGGAAUCAUUGGGCGUAAAGCGCGUGUAGGCGGCUUGGCAAGUCGGGUGUGAAAUCCCGGGGCCCAACCCCGGAACUGCAUUCGAAACUGCCUCGCUAGAGUCCCGGAGAGGAAGGCGGAAUUCCCGGUGUAGAGGUGAAAUUCGUAGGUAUCGGGAGGAACACCAGCGGCGAGGGCGGGCUUCUGGACGGUGACUGACGCUCAGACGCGAAAGCGUGGGGAGCAAACAGG